rnacentral:rRNA from 1 species
CAAUAGCGUAUACUAACGUUGUUGCAGUUAAAAAGCUCGUAGUUGGAUUUGUGGCGGCAGUUGCGGUCCGUACUUUUUCGGUACUGUCGACUGCUGCCAUCCUUGGGUGGAUGCUGUGUGGCAUUAGGUUGUCGUGCAGUGGAUACCCAUCGUUUACUGUGAGAAAAUUAGAGUGUUCAAAGCAGGCUUAAGCCGUUGAAUAUAUUAGCAUGGAAUAAUGAGAUAGGACCCUGGUACUAUUUUGUUGGUUUGCGUGCCAAGGUAAUGAUUAAUAGGGACAGUUGGGGGUAUUCGUAUUCCAUUGUCAGAGGUGAAAUUCUUGGAUUUCUGGAAGACGAACUACUGCGAAAGCAUUUACCAAGGAUGUUUNCAUUAA